GUAAUACGAGAAGGUACACAGAAUAUCCAAACUACAGUGCUUUCUUUGCGAUGCUUGCCAGAUAAUACAGUUUCCUACAGACGUUCUACUUUUUCUCGUUAUAUCCGGAAAAAUACGAAUUUGCAGAAAAAUCCGCAGUCAACUUAUGGGCGUCAGUGUACACGUAAGCGAAUCGAGGAAAGCGACGAUGCUCUCUAAGCUACAUCCGGCAGAGCGGCAGUUUUUUGUGCACCGCGUCGCAUCCUUAAGUUCGCCACACUUGUUUCGCUAGUAGCAGCGCCCUCUUCGUGACUAUGAUGCGCGAGCAUGGAAGCGCGCGCGCAGAUCGGCGCAACAACGAGGCGCGCUUCACCGUAGCGUGCAACUGAAAAUCAGAAAUUUCCGCGCGCUGAUAGAUCACAGAGUGCAACGAGCUACUCUCAUCUGGUCCCGCCUCUCUACCGGCGAUCGUGAGAUCGUCCACGAUUUACGGAAUAGUCGAAAGAAGCAGCAGAUAUUGUCAACGUCUCAAGCAUUGUCAAUGAAGAAACCAAGGGAGGGAAGAGUAAAGGCGGCAGUGGCUCUUAAGAAGAGAUACAUUUUCGCCUACGAGUUCGUCGAAUGAAAUUCGAAUAUUCGCUGGGAAAGAUUUUCCCUUUGCACGAUGAACGUUGAAGAAAUACUGGUAACGUACAGUGAACGUCUGAGGAUCCUCUUGGAUUUUGAACUCUCAGUAUGGCUAUUAAGAUGGCGUACAAUUAGGGAGAAGAUAUAAGCGAAUUGAUAAUGGAAAUAGCCCAACAAGCUUUGAAGAGAUCUGUCUAUACUUUUCCUAUGUGCUUUUUACCUUGAAGACUUUUGUUACUUUUGCGGAAACUCGAAUAUUAAAUAAAAUGAAAUGUUAGUUGAGGAGCGUGGAAGAAAAUGAAGGAGGAAAAGAGAAGGAGUAAAGCGAUAUUUAUUGUCGGUUUUUACAAGUAGAAAGUAAGCAAAGUUGAUUAUCGCUCUGUUUCUUUUAGGGAAAUCCUUAAUUGGUAUCGAUAUACCUUUUUCCCAAUAGUUUCUCUCUUAUCCGGCUAGCGAUGUAACUCGCGCAAUAACAUACACGCUGUUGGCACGCGAUUUUAUCAACGCAGUGAAAAACAGGCGAAACGAAGAAGAAGGAACUGCAGGUUAUGCUAAGAUAACUGGUUGAAACAGAAGCAGAAUCGAAACAAAGUUAAAUUUACAAACAUUUAAUUUGAAUCUAAAUUUCUAUUUAUGGGAUAUCGUAUUUCCCCAUACAAUCAUAAAAUGUGCACAAUAUCGUUUACCAUCUUAGUUCCAAUGUCUCGCACCAAUUAUUAUUUCUUAGUGUUCCCUGAUUAUUUUAACGACAUAUGUAUAAUUUUCUAAAGUAGAGUUUAUAAUCUUGCGAAGAUUACAAAAAUUCCCUGGUCCGAUUGACUACAUUGUUGUAGAAUUAUUUUAACGUAGCCCCAACAUUGUCACGACGAUCGACUAUGCCAAAUAAAAUUAUAGAUUUUAGAUAAUUUUAACCGUGAUUUUUCAUAUUUGCUAUUCCUAGUGUUUCGAAAGCUUACAUGAAAAUAAGCUGUGAAUCAUUUUCUAUUUUAAAAACUUUCUAUUUCGAUGCUUCCUUCGAUCCAACCGAGAAGAAAAUUACAACGGAAAUUCUUUGCGAUACGAUAUCGAUGACCGUUGUAAUAUUUCUUAAGAAAUUUCAAAAUGCAAACUAAAAUAUUUCAUAAUGUGUGCGAUGAGAAAUAUGUGCCUUGAUGUCUCUGGGUUCUCAAUUCAAAGCUAUUGCUUCUUUUAUCUUUAACUUACGGAAUUAGAAAUUGGUUUAAUUCAAUCAGCAUUAAAAAACGAUAUUUUCUCGUUGAUCUAGUUCUCUUGUGCAAUAAAGUGGAUGAUAUUGUAAUUUUUAUUUUGUUCGUGUUAAUGAGAACGUCGUCAUCUUGAGAGCACACGCGCGGCUGAGAACCAUUGAUAAUUUUAUCGAACCAAUACUUGCCUAUGUACUCGUUCCGAUUGAUAGUAUCGAUGUUCGCAAUAGCUGUUAUCAAUCUCGCGUACACUUCUUUGAUUUUACAGUUCCAGGAAUACAAUUCUCUAUUUACAUUUUUCUCCGCGAUUUUUUAUACAAAUUUACAAAGACCGUAGUCAAGGAUGGAUUGCACUUUUCAACUGGUGCGAGAAAAAGUGGAAUAUUAAAUUUGAUACACGUUGGAAGAAAUGUAGUAUGAAAUUGUACUAAUCGUGCGAAUUAAUUCAUCCAUAGGUAUCGCUAAUUUGAAGUAUUAUGCUGACACAGAAAAUACAGAAGCAAAUUCCGAUCUGUCCACAGUCUUUAGAACUGCAACGAAAGAGUUCGAAAAUCCGAGAAGUAAGCAAUUUUUGUCUAACCAACAACGUAUACUAAGAUAAAAAAUAAUUUGAAAAGCAUAUAAUUAAAUAUGCGUGUAUGCUAUGAUUCCAACAAAUGAUAACGUAGAGUAUUUGCGUAUCUACCAUAUUGUUACUUUCUCCUGAAAAAUGAUUUCAUAUCUCAUAUUAUCUGUUACUCUACUGCUCUUAAACCUCAAUUACAAAGAUAAUCUUUUUAAUUAUCCUGUUCGAGAUUUUUAUGCUGCAAUCAUUGGCUGAUUAAAGUCUUUGAGGCUGGGGACUAUCGACUGAACAAAGGAGGAAACAAUCUCAAGCUAGAAAAAUGGGGAAGGGAGAAGGACUUAAAAUGAAAUAAAUUUGCAUAAAUAAAAUAAAGAGCCUGCUAUAA